rnacentral:lncRNA from 1 species
UCAAAAUAAUAGUGUGAUAUGAGUGAUUCUUUAAAAUUGGUAAAAGGCAAUGUACUGCUCAGAUUUCGAGCUGGCUCGCCUCGCUUAUUUCAUUUUGUCCUGAAGGAACAAUAAUGUUCUAGGAUUGUUUUUGACUUGGAUUUUAGUACGUUACAGCAGAACUCAAACUUCGUCUGCAUAUGAUCAUCGUCCCGGCGAGCAGCAGGACCAGGUUUAAUGUUGAUGAAACUGGACUCCGUGGUACAUAUCAGGUCCACCCUUCGUCUUAGAUUACCACAACGACGACACCGUUACUGGCACCGCCAUCAGUUUUUCUCCUGCUCAGCCAAGUUUUACUUCAGCUUCACGUUACUGCUGCAGCUAUCGGGCAAAAUUUAAAUUACGAUAUACGCCCCUUUAUGAAGAGCUGUCUCCGCCAGCAACAGGAGAACUGCGAAAUAAUGCAAUUAAUCUGGUAGCCGCUGUCCGAUGUAUCUCUCUUUCUCGUUUCGACGCCGAGGGGUUCCGCGCAAUCAGUCUCGUGUACGCCGGCUCCUAUUUAUUCAGAAGGCUCGGAACGCAGGUGAAGUUAAAAAGUAUCAGUGGUCGCAUCCAGUCAGCCGACCAUAAGUUCGCAACACAUGGCUCAUGAAGAUACAGAUUGAGAAUGAUGGAAAAAGGCAGGGAAACACCCAGACCUUUUUCCCUAGAACAUAAAGACGAGCAGGAAAGAACUCGCAGCUUUACUAUUAUCUAUCGGACCACCAGCUCUAGCUAUAUUAUCUUCGGUAUAGUAGCCUGACUUCAGUCUGUGCAACGCUAUCGAGGCUGGGGACGGUAUUAGCUCAGAAUCAUGGCGGGAGAAAUUAUUAUUAUUAUUAUUAUUAUUCAGGUGAAGUUUUUACCGCACAAAAAUUUAAUGGUGGG